UUGAACACCCUCUUUCAUUUUUCUGAGUUCUGGGUGCUGAUGAGAAUCACCAGCUUCCCUAUGUAGCCUCCACCUUGCCCCUCAGAGACAGGCAUGACCCUGCUCUUUGUACUGGGCUGCAUUUUCUUCCCACUGAGCUUCACUGCCCUCUGCUGGGGCCUGCAGAACCACCCCACCCUGCGGAUGGAGAGACCAGAGGCUGUUUUGGUGGCGUCCAAGUAAGAGGACAGGGUGAGGGCGUCCUUCCUGGGCCAGGGCUGGUGGAGCUGAUCUCCCGCUUUCAGGAAGAGUUAGUGGUGACAGCAGGAGCAGUGUGUGUGUGUGAGUGAGUGUGUGUGUGUGUGUGUGUGUGAGUGCGUGUGCCAGGGGUAGAUUAAGACUCAAAAGAAAAUGGCUAGGGGAUCUUUUGCAAGUUAUUUAACCUCUCUGAACUUCAGACCCCCCCCAACUUGUAAAUGGGUGUACUAAGAACACCCACCUUCCAAUCUUCAUGGAGACCUUGUGCGAGGAUAGGUGAAUUCAUGUCUGUGAAAUAGGGGUGGCCAACUCCUGCAAGGAACAAGCCUGUAGGCUCUGUGGGGAUGACUGGUGAGCUGGAGGACUCAACAUUCAGCCCACCGAAUGAAGCAGCAGCUGCUCAGCUCCCGCCAAACAUUAUGGAGCUAGAAUGUGGGCUCCAUGUUGUCUGACCUUCUGGUUCUUUCUCAAAAGAAGUUGAGCUUCGAUGUGGAAUCACCUAAUUUGCAAACACUGACAAAUAAGUUAUAAUUUAAGAAAAUACUAUCCUGGCAACACACCAGACUGGCUGAGCAAAGCAUGUUUGUGGGCCAGAUUGGGCCCUUCCGCUGCCAAUUUAUGACCUGUUUGACACAGUUUAAUACACGUGUGAACUAUCAUGGAAACUUAGGUCGGAGAGGGAGCAGGCAGAAGGCAGAAUUUACUUGGGUGUCUAGGUGAAUUCCUGGAAGACAGAAAAGUGUCUCUGUAAUUCAGGUCACCCAGAGAGAA
rnacentral:lncRNA from 1 species